UACGGUAGGGUGCAAGCGUUAAUCGGAAUUACUGGGGCGUAAAGCGUGCGCAGGCGGUGAUGUAAAGCAGAUGAAAUCCCGGGCUCCACUGGAACUGACAUUUGUGAUCUGCAUCGGCUGGGAGUACGGCGAGAGGGGGAUGGAAUUCCGCGUGUAAGCAGUGAAAUGCGUAGAUAUGCGGAGGAACACCGAUGGCGAAGGGCAAUCCCCUGGGCCUGUACUGACGCUCAUGCACGGAAAAGCGUG
rnacentral:rRNA from 1 species